UUUUUUUUUUCAUUUUUACAGAAAAGGACACAGUUCAAGGACGUGAAAAAAGAAAGAAAAAAAGAAAAUAAUGAAAAAAAAAAGCCCUCUACUUACUGCUCCUGAAUAGAGUACAGAAGAGUGGCCAAAAAGAGAGGUCAAUUUCGGGAGGAGAGGUGCCCUAAUACCCUCCCGUUAGUAAAUGUGGUAGUAUUUGGUGAUCUGCCGAGUGUGUGUGUGUGUGGAUAUGUUGCUGGAUAAGUAUAGUUCAGUUCACCUAUCUGUACUCACCACCCCUAUCAGUACUCAUAUGAGGAAAAAUUGUACUCUGGGAAACUGUCGAUGUAAAACUGUGACGUAGUUUCAAAAUAGAGAAUGUGUAUCAGUUUCCAUUUUCCCGAGAGUUCAUUAUCAUGGGUUAGUGUUCCAGUUGUUUGCUUUUCCAGGAGUGUUGUGUUGCGCUGCCUCGGGGAAUGACCAGCGUUGCCAGAUCAUCGUACACAUAACAUUGUAUUCUCUGGUUCCUGGCCCAUAAAUACCGCAAAGAACGAGCAUCAAUGAUUACUGAUUUUAACUAAGUAUAAAUGCAUAUCAUUGUACGGCUCCACCACGGCUGUUGACACCUGGUGGAAGAGGAGGAGCAGGAGGAGGAGGAGGAGGAGGAGGGAGGUUAAGGAUAUGGAGAAGAAAAGGAAGGGAAGAUAAUAUGAAAAGCAAGAGGACUGAUUGAUUAUUAGGGCGGUCUGUUUCAGCGCUACAACUUCGGGGUCAUUAAAAGCAAGAGGAAUGGAAGACAAAAUGUAGAGGGAAAGAAGUAUUAGCUUUGAGGGUGCGAGUUUUUGGUAAGAAAUCGUCAAAAACACGCAAGUACGACAAUCUGGCAACGUUGCGAAUCAGUUGUUUGCUUUGGUCAGGGGUGUGUUUUGUUAGGCUCUGAACACACAGCAGGGAUGAGGUUUACUAUCCGAGCUAAAGUGACUUACAAAUUAGUUAAAGUUAAUCAUCCAGCCCUAAACAUUGCCAGUAAGUAUGGGAGUCAUCACACUUAACUUUUACCGAGAUCUAUGCAUACCUAUUGUGUAAGGGAUGAGGUUGACUAUCAGAGCUAAAGCGACUUACAAAUUAGUUAAAAGAUUAGUUAAAGUUAAUCAUCCUGCCCUAAACAUUGCCAGUAAGUAUGGGGGUCAUCACACUUAACUUUUACUGAGAUGUAUGCAUACCUGUUGUGUAAGGGAUGAGGUUGACUAUCAGAGCUAAAGCGACUUACAAAUUAGUUAAAAGAUUAGUUAAAGUUAAUCAUCCUGCCCUAAACAUUGCCAGUAAGUAUGGGGGUCAUCACACUUAGCUCUUGCCGAGAUGAAUGCAUAGCUAAUGUGUAAGGGUAUCUUUUGAGGGGAAAUAAAAAUAAGUGCGUUUGUGCAUUUAUAGACAUGAUUAGAUAACGGAAUCCUGCACUAGUCCUCAACCUCUGCACACUCACUAUAAACAAGGUACAGAGUUAUUUAUGGUUUCUUAAUGUAUAUUCCCCCAAGUCCUUUUUCUUUUUACAGUCAAGGAAACAGCUCAAGGGCGAGAAAAGAAAACAAUAAUGAAAGAAAUACCGCAAAUUAAGGUAGAGUUAUUUACUGUUUCAUAAUGUAUACUCUCCCAAGUCCUUCUUCUCCUUUUUUUUUAAAGUCAAGGAAAUGGCUCAAGGGCAAGAAAAGAAAACAAUAGUGAAAGAAAUCCCGCAAAUCGCUUCUCCUAUAAAAAGCGUUGAGGAGUGGCCAAAAGAGAGGUCAAUUUCUAUAUACAUCCACUGCCAAGGAAAAGUUAACAUCAUGAAAACUAUUUAUAUGCAGUGCCCAUCUUUACUGCCACAGCGAGAUAUGUACACACUAUUGACAAUAUUGAUGUCGCGGUUAAUAUUUUAAUGGAAUGACUUGAGUUCACUUCCCAAACUCAUUCCAUCUGCCCCUUAAAAGCCUGUGUCAAAUUUCCAGGCGCUAAGUAAUUGUGGAGAUAAUUGUCUAUUUGUGAAGAUACUGAUGGAAUUAAUGACAACACUGCCCAAAACUCAUUCCAACUUUCCCUUUACAUUUUUUCAUGAGCCUCUUGGUUAAAACACUGUUGGAAUGACUGACUUCACUGCCCAAAACUCAUUCCAACUUUCCCUUUACAUUUUCUCAGGAGCCAAAUCUUUGAGGACGUAAAAGUCUCUUAAUUAAAAUACUGUUGGAAUGACUCACACCACUUCUCAAAACUCAUUCCAACUUUCCCUUUACAAAACUCAUUCCAACUUUCCCUUUACAAAACUCAUUCCAACUUUCCCUUUACAUUUUCUCAGGAGCCAAAUCUUUGAGGACAUAAAAAUCUCUUAGUUAAAAUACUGUUGGAAUGACUGACUUCACUUCCCAAAACUCAU